rnacentral:rRNA from 1 species
UCUUGAUCUCAGAUCAGGCAGGAUGACCCGCUGAACUUAAGCAUAUUAGUAAGCGGAGGAAAAGAAACUAACCAGGAUUCCCUUAGUAACGGCGAGUGAAGCGGGAAUAGCCCAAUCUGAAAAGCUAGUCUGCCCUGGAGCAGGUCUCGCAUUGUAGGUUGAUGAAGCGUUUCCUAGUGUUAAACCUUUCAAUUAAAGUUCCUUGGAACAGGACAUCAAAGAGGGUGAUAAUCCCGUGAUUAAUUGAAUGACAUACCAGUUUAACACGUCUAUGGAGCGUUUUCUUAGAGUCGGAAUGUUUGGGAUUGCAUUCCAAAGCGGGUGGUAAACUCCAUCUAAGGCUAAAUACUGGCGAGAGACCGAUAGCGAACAAGUACCGUGAGGGAAAGUUGAAAAGCACUCUGGAGAGAGAGUCAAACAGUACGUGAAAUUGCUAGCAGGGAAACGUUGGGCACCAGUACACGGCAAUCAAUGUUAAUGAUCAGUCGGUCGACCGGUGAAUUGUAAUGCGGUGAUUAUUAACCUUUAGAGAUUGUCCUAUUAGCGGCGACUCACGCAUUAUAAGGUUGUCGGUUGACCGGUGCACUCUUUAACAGCCGGGUCAACAUCGGUUAAUGACGUCCGACAAGUCUAGUUGACAAGGUAGCAUUAGUGGGUUCGCUCACUUUUGAACUUAUAGGUCAUUAGUACGAGGAUGUCGUUGACCGAGGAUAAGCGAUUCGCGCGUUUCGGCGCAGGGCGUAUUAGCCGGGUUAAGGUCGCCCGUGGUGCUAAGCAGCAUGCUGAUUAGUAUUCAUUCUACUAUACUUUUGUAUAGUAGCGGUGGUCGCUCGGUUAAUACAAGCCACUAGCGAGUCAAUGAAUGUUGACGAAAUGGUAUUCAACGACCCGUCUUGAAACACGGACCAAGGAGUCUAACAUGUCUGCGAGUGUUUGGGUGGAAAACCCUUACGCGGAAUGAAAGUAACGAGGCAAGUUUCGCGCUUGCCCGCUGGUAGGAAUCGAAGCGUUACGGCGCGACGAGGCACUACCGACCGACCUGUUACCCUCUGUGGUGGUAGGUUUGAGUUGGAGCAGUCCUGUUAGGACCCGAAAGAUGGUGAACUAUGCCUGAGCAGGAUGAAGUCAGAGGAAACUCUGAUGGAGGUCCGUAGCGGUUCUGACGUGCAAAUCGAUCGUCGGACUUGGGUAUAGGGGCGAAAGACUAAUCGAAC